rnacentral:miRNA from 2 species
AGGUCAUGCUGGAGUUUCAUC